UACGUAGGGGGCAAGCGUUGUCCGGAAUCAUUGGGCGUAAAGAGCGUGUAGGCGGCCAGAUAAGUCCGCUGUGAAAAACUCGAGGCUCAACUUCGAGCUGUCGGUGGAAACUAUUUGGCUAGAGUCCGGAAGAGGCGAGUGGAAUUCCUGGUGUAGCGGUGAAAUGCGUAGAGAUCCGGAGGAACACCAGAGGCGAAGGCGGCCUACUGGGUCAGUACUGACGCUGAGCCGCGAAAGCCAGGGGAAGCCGGAACGGGAUUAAGAUGAUCCCGAGUA
rnacentral:rRNA from 1 species